GAUGAACGCUGGCGGCGUGCCUAAUACAUGCAAGUCGAGCGAACAGAUAAGGAGCUUGCUCCUUUGACGUUAGCGGCGGACGGGUGAGUAACACGUGGAUAACCUACCUAUAAGACUGGGAUAACUUCGGGAAACCGGAGCUAAUACCGGAUAACAUAUUGAACCGCAUGGUUCAAUAGUGAAAGGCGGCUUUGCUGUCACUUAUAGAUGGAUCCGCGCCGUAUUAGCUAGUUGGUAAGGUAACGGCUUACCAAGGCAACGAUACGUAGCCGACCUGAGAGGGUGAUCGGCCACACUGGAACUGAGACACGGUCCAGACUCCUACGGGAGGCAGCAGUAGGGAAUCUUCCGCAAUGGGCGAAAGCCUGACGGAGCAACGCCGCGUGAGUGAUGAAGGUCUUCGGAUCGUAAAACUCUGUUAUCAGGGAAGAACAAAUGUGUAAGUAACUGUGCACAUCUUGACGGUACCUAAUCAAAAAGCCACGGCUAACUACGUG
rnacentral:rRNA from 1 species